GCGGAUGUAGUUCAAUAGUAGAAUUUCAGUUUCCCAAACUGAGGACGCGGGGGCAGUACCCGUCAUUCGCUCCA
rnacentral:tRNA from 1 species